rnacentral:rRNA from 1 species
UACGUAGGCAGCAAGCGUUGUUCGGAAUUACUGGGCGUAAAGAGUGUGUAGGCGGUGCUCCAAGUCUGGUGUGAAAUCUCCCGGCUCAACUGGGAGGGUGCGCCGAAUACUGAAUGACUAGAGUGCGGGAGAGGAGAGUGGAAUUCCUGGUGUAGAGGUGAAAUUCGUAGAUAUCAGGAGGAACACCAGUGGCGAAGGCGGCUUUCUGGACGAUUACUGACGCUGAGACGCGAAAGCGUGGGGAGCAAACAGG